rnacentral:rRNA from 1 species
GCACAAGCAGCGGAGCAUGUGGUUUAAUUUCGAAGCAACGCGAAGAACCUUACCUAGACUUGACAUCUCCUGAAUUACCUUAACCGGGAAGCCCUUCGGGCAGGAAGACAGGUGGUGCAUGGUUGUCGUCAGCUCGUGUCGUGAGAUGUUGGGUUAAGUCCCGCAACGAGCGCAACCCUUAUUUUUAGUUGCUACCAUUUGGUUGAGCACUCUAAAGAGACUGCCCGGGUUAACCGGGAGGAAGGUGGGGAUGACGUCAAAUCAUCAUGCCCCUUAUGUCUAGGGCUACACACGUGCUACAAUGGUGAGAACAAAGAGACGCGAGACCGCGAGGUGGAGCAAAUCUCAUAAAACUCAUCCCAGUUCGGAUUGCAGGCUGAAACUCGCCUGCAUGAAGCCGGAGUUGCUAGUAAUCGCGAAUCAGCAUGUCGCGGUGAAUACGUUCCCGGGCCUU